AUGACGGCUGUGGGCGUGGGGGCUGCCGCACCGCCUGUGCCCGCCGGCGGCAGCUCGCCCAGGCGCCGCGGUCACCAAGCCCCCGCGGCGACGCCCGUUGCCAAGGACUUGAUCGGGGUGCGCACGCGCCCGUGGGGCAAGUUCGCGGCCGAGAUCCGGGACUCGACGCGGAAUGGCGCCCGCGUGUGGCUGGGCACCUUCGGCAGCCCCGAGGCGGCCGCCAUGGCCUACGACCAGGCCGCCUUCUCCGCGCGCUGCGACACCGCCGUGCUCAACUUCCCCGUCGAGCGCGUCCGGAAGUCGCUCCGCGCGCUCGCGCUCGCGCUCGGCGCCGUCGUGGGCUCGCCCGUACUCGCGCUCAAACGCCGCCACCGCAUGCGCAGGCGGUCGCCCAACAAGGGGUCUGUGAAAUAG
rnacentral:rRNA from 1 species